ensembl:snRNA U6 U6 spliceosomal RNA
UUGCUUCAGCGGCACAUAGGCUGAAAUUGGAACGAUCCAGAGAAGACAGGCCUGGCCCUGUGCAAGGAUGACAUGAAAAUGCGUGAAGCGGUCCAUAUUAAA